CUGGGUGUGGCUCAGCUUGGUAGAGUACCUGAAUGGGGUUCAGGGGGUCGGAGGUUCAAAUCCUCUCACCCAGA
rnacentral:tRNA from 1 species